ensembl:lncRNA
CCUCUGUACAGGUUUUAUCCAAGACGCUUUCUUGUGAUGCUGCCCUGCCCUUUCCCCGCCGUGUUCUCUGGCUUGUAUAUGAGACUAUUUCUGCAAGCAUGGUAAAGUUUCCUUUGUUGUAGUUCUGAAGUCUUUUGCGCAUUGCUGUCAGUAUAUGAACAUCGGGUGGGUCCUCAGCCUUCCAGUUCGUGAAGAAGGAAGGAGGGAGAAGGCUGCUGCUGGCACGCUGUUGGUGAGGUCAGCAGUUUGGGUAUUGAUCAGGUUCCAGUCAUUGCUUCCCCUGUGUCAGCUGCACUGUGUGGAAUCUGUCUUGCUCUUCGUAUUAGAUCUUCUGAAGGGAUGGAACACGUUAUAAAGAAAUACAGCUUUUUAGAAGACUCAUGUGUUUUACCAAGAGCACAUGUGCUUGAAUAGGUAGAAUCUGUCUUGAACAAAAUGCUGAUGGCUUUGAGUGGAACUUCUCUGCAUAUUCUUCUCAGCAUUUAUCACUGUCCAUGAUACAUACUAGAGGUCUGCAGGAAGUGUUUGUGUCAUCCAUUCUUUGGUCUUUUCUGAAAUAAAGAACUUGGACCAGGACACAAGUAGUCCAUGAUGAUGUCUGUCUGUUAUGAGGAUGAAGGAUCUUCUCGAAGUUGUGAUUCUUUGAAAAGGCUGUGUGUGGCUGCAUGUGGAGGAGGAAAUGGUAGAACGGCUUUGGUUUUUUCUUGUUUUUCAGGUAGAGCUAUGUCAGAUGGAGCUGAUUGAGCCUUGGGUAGAAAGUAUUUAGCAUGGCAAGAGAAUUGCCUGGAUGGGAAGGGAGAGAUUCGAGGUGUAGUUGGAGAUACGAGGUGGGCAUAAUUCCCUGUGAGCAGAUAUUCACUGAGUCAGUGUCUCUUGGAAGACUGCUCGGUUUUUCAUUUGAGACCUACAAAGUCUCUUCACAGAACUUCAGUGAGCAGCAAAUGUAUCUUCCACAGCACAGAGAUGUACAGACAGCUGUGUGAAAUUGGUGCUGACAAGAGAAAUGGUCUGGGUUACUGGGGCCCCACUGUCACACGUUUUUAAUCUAUCUGGGUGAAAGGACAGCAUGGAUGGUGUGAAGGGCUGGAAAUCUGAGUGCUGUGAGCUGUGUGUAAAUGUCUGCAGAAAGACUCAAGAGAAUGUUUUCCUUCAUUCCCUGUCCAGUUUCUAUCUCUAGCAUGAAGGAAUGUGGAGUUCUUCUUCCCAAAGUAAUUGUUUAGAAGAUCUGUAUUCCAGCUGCAUGGAAAACCCUGCAGGUUUGUAAUAAGUAUUUGUUGGUCAUAGUAAUGGUGUCAAUGCGAAGCUUAAUUUUGUACUUAUAUGUGGUAUGGGAAUUGUAAGCUGUGUAUUCAGUGCCCAUUAACAACAUCAUUAAUCAUAUAGUCUGAGUUAUAUAAUCCAGAAGAUAGUUGUGAGCUCUUCAGUCCUGCAGGUGUUAACUUUCUGUCCUGUUCUUCUGAUGAUUCGAGGAUGGUUCCUUCACGGUUAUAGGUGAAAAGAGAGAGACUUCCAUAGACAAGUUUCUUGAAACUGUCUCUGUAAUAAAUGCUUUUUCUUUUCCCA